rnacentral:rRNA from 1 species
GAUGAACGCUGGCGGCGUGCCUAAUACAUGCAAGUCGAGCGAACAGACGAGGACCUUGCUCCUCUGACGUUAGCGGCGGACGGGUGAGUAACACGUGGAUAACCUACCUAUAAGACUGGGAUAACUUCGGGAAACCGGAGCUAAUACGGGAUAAUAUAUUGAACCGCAUGGUUCAAUAGUGAAAGACGGUUUUGCUGUCACUUAUAGAUGAAUCCGCGCCGCAUUAGCUAGUUGGUAAGGUAACGGCUUACCAAGGCAACGAUGCGUAGCCGACCUGAGAGGGUGAACGGCUCAACUGGAACUGAGACUCGGUCCAGACUCCUACGGGAGGCAGCAGUAGGGAAUCUUCCGCAAUGGGCGAAAGCCUGACGUAGCAACGCCGCGUGAGUGAUGAAGGUCUUCGGAUCGUAGAACUCUGUUAUUAUGGAAGAUCAAAUGUGUAAGUAACUAUGCACGUCUUGACGGUACCUAAUCAGAAAGCCACGGCUAACUACGUG